rnacentral:rRNA from 1 species
AGAACGAACGCUGGCGGCAGGCUUAACACAUGCAAGUCGAGCGCUGUAGCAAUACAGAGCGGCGCACGGGAGAGUAAUACGUGGGAACCUACCUUUUGGUUCGGAAUAACGUCGGGAAACUGACGCUAAAUACCGAAUAAGUCCUUCGGGAGAAAGAUUUAUCGCCGAAAGAUGGGCCCACGUUGGAUUAGCUAGUUGGUGAGGUAACGGCUCACCAAGGCAACGAUCCAUAGCUGGUCUGAGAGGAUGAUCAGCCUCACUGGGACUGAGACACGGCCCAGACUCCUACGGGAGGCAGCAGUGGGGAAUAUUGGACAAUGGGGGCAACCCUGAUCCAGCCAUGCCGCGUGAAUGAUGAAGGCCUUCGGGUUGUAAAGUUCUUUUGGCGGGGACGAGUGAUGGACGGUACCCGCAGAAUAGCUCCGGCUAACUUCGUGCCAGCAGCCGC